rnacentral:rRNA from 1 species
GUCCACGCCCUAAACGAUGAUGACUAGUUGUUGGAGUAGUUAAAUCCUUUAGUAACGCAGCUAACGCGCGAAGUCAUCCGCCUGGGGAGUACGGUCGCAAGAUUAAAACUCAAAGGAAUUGACGGGGCCCGCACAAGCGGUGGAUGAUGUGGUUUAAUUCGAUGCAACGCGAAAACCUUACCUACCCUUGACAUGUACGGAAGCCUGCAGAAAUGCAGGUGUGCUCGAAAGAGAGCCGUAACACAGGUGCUGCAUGGCUGUCGU